rnacentral:lncRNA from 1 species
GUUUCUCCCGGAUGAGUCCUUGGAUUGGUGGAUUUUAACUCCAGAUUAACCAGCAAAGCAUUUUCUGCUAUGGGAGUUUAACGAAAUACAAGUGGAAGAUGUACAGAGUCAACGAUCCAGCAGCUAUUAAGACGAAGAGGAGGAUUUCUAGACUUGGCUUUUUUAUUCGGGAGAACGAGAAGCCGCAAGGAUUUAAACUUCGGCAGCAUCAGUGCCAGGCGGGAUGCUUUCUCGGCACACGUGGAAAUCUAAACACUCAUGGAGACACUUUGAGGAUUAUAAAAAAAAAUGUGUCGCACAAGACAUUUCCCAGGUCAACGUCACAGGCGUAGCAGGAUGCUGCACUGCUGGUCCUCCUCGGGCCUCAGCUUGGGCCCCCUUCUUUGUAGUCCACAUUGCAAGAAGACCACCUCAUAGGGAUUUUCCCCUUCACCAGGUAACCACAAAGGAAGAAAAGAAGCACAUUAUCCACAUGUACAACAUACCCCCGAACACGCACGCACGCACGCACACACGCAAGCUCUCUUUGCCACACAAAGCUGACCACCAGCACAGCAGGAAACACACACGCAUGCACACACACACAGCAUAUUAUCUUUAUGAGGUGUUAUACACCAGUGACCACCAACACAGGGUCUCACUGUUCUCUAAUCCACACUCGAGCUGAAAAGAGUGCUCCAUGCAAUGGAGGGAUUACACCGUGGGAUUAAUAGGAGUUUUAAUUUGAGUCAUUGUAAGAGCCCUUGAUUGUAAGAAUAUGUGCAGGAAAGAAUACCACUUGCUCCUAUGUGAUAUUGUUAAAUGUGUUACAACCGCACAUUUCGGCCACUGCAUUUACUGCAAUGACACAAGCAAUCUGCAUGUGUGUGUCCAUUCAAUUUUUGUGUGACUGAUAAUGAGUAAGACCAUGAACUAUUAUCAUUAAAACUACCACAAUACAGCUACACUAUCUUGAAAUUAACUGUGCUUAAAAUGUUAAUAUUACUGUAAUGCUUGGAAAUGUACUGUCAUGUGAAGUCACUGCACUUUGCAGAAAACACAUUCUUGUUACCAACCAGUUUUUUUUAAUGCCUUUGAUUUUACCCUUAUAUUCUAAAUUAAAAGAAGAAUGAUUACCAUGUCAUUGUUUGGUAGCUUUUUUUUCUCCCAUCACAACGCUGCUUACAAUUAAUUAUGUUAUAUGUUGUACUUGCAGACAAAUCAUUAUUUUUCAAUUUGUGUUUUUUCUUUUUUUUCUCUUUUACUACUAAAACCUUAAACAUGCUCAAUGAAGAUGGCUCAAAGCUGAAAAUGUAAAUACAGAUGGAACAUGUAAAUAUACAAUAUCAAAACUGAUAUAGCUCUAUAUAUUUUUUUUCACAGGUGUAAAGAAGAUUUUUAACUCAUAUUAAUACGAUCAUAUAUCUGAUUUUACUUUUCCUUUCAAACACCAAAAAAUAAACGCAAAAGCUAUGAUGGAGAUUCAAGUCUAUAUUGCAGAUGGUCACUCAUAGCCUGGCGUGGCCAGACGAAUACUCAAAUGCGUGUUAGUCUGGGACCUCUCGGUCCAUUUUCGAUUUUUGCAAGAGGCGUUACCAACGGACGCAGAACAAAAUGCCUCCGGACACAAUUGGAUAGACCUGCAACCACGAGAACAACGGAUCAUGUCAAGUCUGUUGAGCGACGCAAAGUGUCAACAGACGAGAGCGUGCAGAGAGGAGAUGAUGUGAUGGUGAUUCCACAAUGUCUGUGAACAAGUGUUGCCGUUUUUGUGGGAGAAAUUUGAACAUAUCUGGUCAAAUGCCCGUUCAUCAGCGGCAGCCUUGGCCACUUCAAUGCGUGUCACGGUAUAAACCCCUCCCAUUAUCAGAUAAUCAGUUGUGAUUGGACCCGCGAGUUUUCUGCCGGAGGGAAAUCGCUUCCCAGUGGACGGGAAGCAGAACGAGUCUGGCAGAGCAAAUUAAAUGAGCUCUGGGUCCCAGGCUGAACGUUUCUAAUUCAAGUUAACAUAUGGCAGAGUAGCCCCUCAAAUACCCAAUAUCCAGUAUACGCACCAUGUUCAUUCCCGUGCCCUGUUACGAUCAUAUUACCGCUGCAAUAUUUUUUACAACCAUAAUCAUAGUUUUUUUUGUUGUUUUUUUUAGCAGUCGUCAAAAUGAAGUGUAGCAGGCAAGGAGCCAAAUGAAAACAAUGUGAUCUGCUAUAUGCAUUUACGGUAUGGGAAUAGUACAUGUGCACGCACACACACAAGUGACUGCUAUAUAAACAAGUGAGAAAGAGAGAAAGAAAGACAACGAGGCCAACAGACAGGCAGGAGAGAAAAAAACCCCAGCCUGGCCCAGAGAACAUUUGCAGCAGAGUGAAGAAAGCUUGAUGAAUAGAUGGAUGACUGGAUAGAAGGGGAGCUGCUUACCAUUCCUAAAGGCAACCAUAAAACCAUGGAUUUAAUCAUAAUCAAUUGUACACAAAGGCAGGCUUACAGAAUAACACUGUACUUUUUCCUUGAGUCAUUCUCUUCUUAUCUUAUUCUUCUCUUUCUUCAUCCUUACGCGAAGCCAAGAGCUGUUCUCAUUACAUCGGCUUCUUUGUGUUGGAAAGUGUAGCAGGAGCUGUGUGAGUACAAAAUCCAAAAGAAAACUGAGAAAACAAAAAUGUAAACAAUAGAAAGUGUGUUGAUUAAAUCAAGUUGGAACAAUCGCAUUUUGCACAAGGCCAGUGUGGUGCAUUAUGAUUCUAUCUCUCUGGGAAAGACAAUGCAACAAAGAAACACAAAAAUCUCAAAGGUCGUCCUUUUUUACUCAAUAAAACCUUAUUAAAAGUCGCCCUUCAAAACUGGAAUAGCAUAUUGAAACGGCUGGUUGGAAUUUUAAUCCAUCCCUUGCAUUGGACAUAAAAUUGAUAUCUCUGCAGAUGUCUGAAACCGCAGAGAAGGAUCUGAAUGCUGAUCAGUUUCCCCCUCUGUAUCCAAUGCGAAAGGUUGGGAAAUGAUUUGAAUUCCAUAAAUGACGGCACCUGUAUCAACCUUCCUUAAGUCUGCUUCACUCUGGUCUCAUUUUGUUGAAAUAGACAUGCGCUGUUCAGUCCUAUGCACAAGCUUACAUUCAAUCCCUGGAUGCUCGCUAAAUCUGUGCGCGGAACGUUUUAUGUAUCCAUACGAUUGUAUGUCAUCCACUUCACAAUGAAUUUCUUUCCUGGGGUUGUUUGCUCCUUAACAAGGCAAUCGUGCUGUUAUGACUCGACGAGAAUUAUUCGCGCAAAGUAGAUUACAGACAAAGUCGAUGCAAACACGCCACAAGAGCAGAAUUCGCUGACGUGAGGCGACGCAAAUGGCGUGAGUAGCGCGGUGAGGGCCGCAAACUGCGCAUCAGUCGCU